CACGUGCACACGGUUCCACACAAGCCCGUGAUUUGUCCUGGAGCAGCAGCACACAAGCGCAAGGUCCAGCUCAGGAGCCGUCCCAAUCGGUUAGAGAUGGCAGCCUAGGGCUCUGUAUCCCCAGGGACUCUCGGCUGGCCAGCCCCUUGCAGGCGAGAGCUGUGGCCGCUCAGCAAGGUCUGCGGGCAUGGGGGCCACGGCCUGCCACUCCUGUUGCCAGGCACCGCUCCUGUGCGCUUGAGGAAGCUGGGGUUCACUGACUUUCAAAAUGACAAGGUCCUCCCUGAGCUGGGAAAAUCUCCCCCUCAGGACAUCACCCGACCUUGCCCCGACUUCUAGGACUCUAACACAGCUGGGCUCUUGACCCUUCCUCCCAUGCUCAAGCCCAAGAGGUCACAACCUCGUUGCUCAGCCUUGACCUUGGACACAGGCCUGUUAAUCUGAAAACCGCGCAGAGAUAACAGCACAGUAGCCGAUAACCGAAGCCACGUCUCCCCAUGAGGCAGGUGUCCCCAGCGAGUGUGUGUUGUGGAGUCCUGGCCACCUUCAUGUCCACGCAGUUCCCAGCCAGGCAGAUCCCCCUCCCCACUCCCAGCAGCACCCCACCCUUCCUACAGCCACAGGGCAACCUCCAACAAAGCUGAAGGAAGAUGCUGAGGAGUCACUCCCAGCAUCUUCCACGAUAAUAAAUAAAAACAAAUGUG